rnacentral:SRP_RNA from 1 species
CCGUGCUAAGCGGGGAGGUAGCGGUUCCCUGUACUCGAAAUCCGCUUUAUGCGAGGCUGAAUUCCUUUGUCGCGGAUGUUUUUUUGUGAAGUCUGCCCAGAACACGAGGUGUUUGAAGAUUUCGGUCCCAUGCAAUAUGAACCCAUGAACCAUGUCAGGUCCUGACGGAAGCAGCAUUAAGUGGAUUCUCAUAUGUGCCGUGGGGUAGCCGAGAUUUAGCUGUCGAUUCUGGUAACGUUUAUGAUACACAUUCAACACAAAGGUGCAUGG